rnacentral:rRNA from 1 species
UACGUAGGGUGCAAGCGUUGUCCGGAAUUAUUGGGCGUAAAGGGCUCGUAGGCGGUCCAUCGCGUCGGGAGUGAAAAGCUGGGGCUUAACCCCAGUCCUGCUUCCGAUACGGGUGGACUAGAGGUAGGUAGGGGAGAACGGAAUUCCUGGUGUAGCGGUGAAAUGCGCAGAUAUCAGGAGGAACACCGGUGGCGAAGGCGCCACUCUGGGCCGAAACUGACGCUGAGGAGCGAAAGCGUGGGUAGCAAACAGG